rnacentral:rRNA from 1 species
AACGCGAAGAACCUUACCAUCCCUUGACAUGUCGUGCCAUCCGGAGAAAUCCGGGGUUCCCUUCGGGGACGCGAACACAGGUGCUGCAUGGCUGUCGUCAGCUCGUGUCGUAAGAUGUUGGGUUAAGUCCCGCAACGAGCGCAACCCACGUCCUUAGUUGCCAUCAUUCAGUUGGGCACUUUAGGGAGACUGCCGGUGAUAAGCCGAGAGAAAGGUGUGGAUGACGUCAAGUCCUCAUGGCCCUUACGGGAUGGGCUACACACGUGCAUCAAUGGCGGUGACAGUGGGACGCGAACCCGAGAGUUAGAGCAAAUCCCCAAAACCCGUUUCAGUUCAGAUUGCACUUUGCUCUUCGAGUGCAUGAAGCCGGAAUCGUUAGUAA